rnacentral:rRNA from 1 species
GUUGGCUUAGUCUAAGUUGAGCUGGUAACACGUUAAAGGUUACCAGUUUGCUUGUAUGAUUUGCUACGGUUGUAUUUGUUGGCUUUGGGUCGCCGCGAUUGCCUUUUAUGAAGGACAGACGCUAACUGCUCUGAUCGAUGUGGGCCGUAAGAACUUUUCAUCCACGUCAACACUAACAUUGUUGCCCCAAGUACAUGGCUAGUCGAUAUUUUAUAACAGUUUAAGCGUUUCAACUGGUUAUCGUUCAUUUUGUAUUCAUAGGCUGAUCUUAAACAUGUUCACCUGUUCACUCUGAGGCGGCGGCAGCUCGCGUAUCGACGGAACAAAGACUGUAUUGGCGGCGUUUGACAACGAAUUAUCUACCUGACCCGUCUUGAAACACGGACCAAGGAGUCUAACAUAUGCGCGAGCCAUUGGGAUUUUAUUAACAAACCCAAAGGCAAAGUGAAAGCGAAAAUGGUGAGAUCUGUCGUUUAUUUGUUAAAAAUAACGGCGGCGCAUCAUCGUCACGCCUCGACUUGGCUUCGGCUGAAGAGGCGCAGACUGAGCGCAUAAGUUGGGACCCGAAAGAUGGUGAACUAUGCGAGGCGAGGUCGAAGCCAGAGGAAACUCUGGUGGAGGACUGUAGCGGUUCUAACGUGCAAAUUGAUCGUCGCAGCUUCGUAUA